GACGAACGCUGGCGGCGUGCUUAACACAUGCAAGUCGAACGGAAAGGCCCUGCUGUUUUGUGGUGCUCGAGUGGCGAACGGGUGAGUAACACGUGAGUAACCUGCCCUUGACUCUGGGAUAACUUCAGGAAACUGGGGCUAAUACCGGAUAGGUGCUCCUUCUGCAUGGUGUGGGUUGGAAAGUUACGGCGGCUGGGGCUGGACUCGGGGCUUAUCAGCUUGUGGGUGGGGUAGUGGCUUACCAAGGCUUUGACGGGUAGCCGCACUGGGAGGGUGACAGGGCCCAUAGGGAUAGAGGAAGGACCCGGAGGGCAACGGGAGGAAGCGGUGGAAAAUAUUGCACACAAGGCCGAGGCAGGGAGGAGCGACGUCGGGUGCGAAAUGACUGCUUUUCGGGUGUAAACGGCUUUUGGCUGAGAGGAAGAGUGAGUGACGGUAACGGAAAAGAAAGCAACGGCUAACUACGUG
rnacentral:rRNA from 1 species